GCCCACUUGUGCCCCUUCUGAUUGGGGCCCAACAGGAGGAGAGCCGGGCAGAGGACUUCAUGGUGAGGACGGCACUGGCAGGCAUGCAGCGCCCCCUGAGGGAGCCCCCGGAAUGGGACUUCCUGGACAGCCGCCCCAUCCACAUGGACUCCCUCCUGGACCCCUCUGGGGCCUGCAUUCCCGCCCUGCAGGAGGGGAUGGUGCGAAGGUCCUCCUUCUUUGUCCUCUACUUCUUGGUGGAGUUGCACUCCCAGGAGAAUCCACCAGCUGAACUCCUGGCCCAGCUGGAGCAAGCUGAGCCCACUGAGGCACAGCCCACGGGACCAGCUCCAACCCCAGCUGAAGUCCCACGUGCGGAGCCCGAGCCAGCUCCACCUGCAGCUUCCUGCCCAGCGCUGGGACCACAGCCAGAGUCCAUGGCAGCCCCUUCACCUGCUGCAGUGCUGGGGGAGCCGGUGGUUGCACGGUGGUCGGUGUCACCUCCUGAGCUCUGCCUGGGGCCAGCUCCUGGCCCCCUCCCACUGUUCCCCUUACUUACGCUGGCUCUUGUUUUGGUAUUUACACUUGCCCUUAUUUCUUGGAUUUAUAUAAAUAAUAGAACUAGCUUUUAAUAAAACUUAAACUUUUAGUGUUUAAAAGGGU
rnacentral:lncRNA from 1 species